UGUGACAAUACCCAAGAGAAACAGUUUUGAGGAGGUCAGGUCUUGUUGAGCUCACAGUGUCAGUCCAUGGCCAGAGGGCUUGUUGCCGUGGCCUUACUUGAGGCUCAGUAUCAUUGUGGGGACCGUGCGGUGAGAGGCUCAGCAUCAUCAUGGGGACCGUGUGGUGAGAGGCCCAGCCAUCAUCGUGGGGACCGUGUGGUGAGAGGUCCAGCAUCAUCGUGGGGACCAUGCAGUGAGAGGCCCAGCAUCAUCGUGUGGACCGUGUGGUGAGAGGCCCAGCAUCAUCGUGGGGACCGUGUGGUGAGAGGACCAGCAUCAUUGUGCAGACUGUGGUGAGGCAGAGCAGCUCACCUGUCCACAGACAGGAAGAGGAAAGGCCAGUGCUCAGAUACUCCUUCAGGAUACACACCAGCAACUUUUUCCAAAUCCUCAGAAGCCGGAAGGUCCGCAAUUCUGGAUGGACCUUAGACUGAGACGUUGAAAGGAGAUCCGCUGCAGGGGGCAGGCCCUGGGCAGAUGCAGGCGGGGGUUGGGGGGACGACCCGACCACAGGACCCCGACCACAGGACCACGGUGCAUACCCUGGACGUAGGAACCCUGGUCGUCACCACGCUAGCCGCGCGUCCCACAGUCCUUCUGGAGAUCCAAGAAGGAAAGGGUCCAUAUCCCCAGCAAUGUGUGCCAACAGACUCGGCCCCAAAACUGUCCUUUUAAUAAGAAAAAACAAGGUACAGAA